rnacentral:rRNA from 1 species
AGCCAAGUAGCGUGCAGGAUUGACGGCCCUAUGGGUUGUAAACUGCUUUUGUUGGGGAGUAAAGUGAGGCACGCGUGCCUUUUUGCAUUUACCCUUCGAAUAAGGACCGGCUAAUUCCGUGCCAGCAGCCGCGGUAAUACGGAAGGUCCAGGCGUUAUCCGGAUUUAUUGGGUUUAAAGGGAGUGUAGGCGGUCUGUUAAGCGUGUUGUGAAAUUUAGGUGCUCAACAUCUAACUUGCAGCGCGAACUGGCGGACUUGAGUGCACGCAACGUAUGCGGAAUUCAUGGUGUAGCGGUGAAAUGCUUAGAUAUCAUGACGAACUCCGAUUGCGAAGGCAGCGUACGGGAGUGUUACUGACGCUUAAGCUCGAAGGUGCGGGUAUCGAACAGGAUUAGAUACCCUGGUAGUCCGCACGGUAAACGAUGGAUGCCCGCUGUUAGCGCCUGGCGUUAGCGGCUAAGCGAAAGCAUUAAGCAUCCCACCUGGGGAGUACGCCGGCAACGGUGAAACUCAAAGGAAUUGACGGGGGCCCGCACAAGCGGAGGAACAUGUGGUCUAAUUCGAUGAUACGCGAGGAACCUUACCCGGGCUGGAAUUGCAGACGCAGGAUACAGAGAUGUUGACUCCCUUCGGGGCGUCUGUGAAGGUGGCUGCA